AGUGAACGCUGGCGGCAGGCCUAACACAUGCAAGUCGAACGGCAGCACGGCAGUAGCAAUACUGUGGGUGGCGAGUGGCGGACGGGUGAGGAAUACAUCGGGAUCUACCCUGUUGUGGGGGAUAACAUAGGGAAACUUACGCUAAUACCGCAUAAGAACUGAGGUUGAAAGCGGCGGACCGCAAGGCGUCGCGCGAUUGGAUGAACCGAUGUCCGAUUAGCUAGUUGGCGGGUAAAGGCCCACCAAGGCGACGAUCGGUAGCUGGUCUGAGAGGACGACCAGCCACACUGGAACUGAGACACGGUCCAGACUCCUACGGGAGGCAGCAGUGGGGAAUAUUGGACAAUGGGCGCAAGCCUGAUCCAGCCAUGCCGCGUGGGUGAAGAAGGCCUCGGUU
rnacentral:rRNA from 1 species